GGUGGCUCAGUGGUAGAGCGCUUGCCUUGCAUGAACGAGGCCCUGGGUUCGAUUCCCCAGCACCA
rnacentral:tRNA from 1 species